rnacentral:piRNA from 1 species
UGUGCUGUAGGAAAUGAUCACAUGUCCGC